rnacentral:tRNA from 1 species
CGGGCAAUUGCCCGUAGAUCACCUCAGCUUCCCAAGCUGAGAGCGCGAGUUCGAUUCUCGUCACCCGC